rnacentral:rRNA from 1 species
GACGAACGCUGGCGGCGUGCUUAACACAUGCAAGUCGAACGGAAAGGCCCUGCUUUUGUGGGGUUCUCGAGUGGCGAACGGGUGAGUAACACGUGAGUAACCUGCCCUUGACUUUGUGAUAACUUCAGGAAACUGGGUCUAAUACCGGAUAUGAGCUCCUGCUGCAUGGUGGGGGUUGGAAAGUUUCGGCGGUUGGGGAUGGACUCGCGGCUUAUCAGCUUGUUGGUGGGGUAGUGGCUUACCAAGGCUUUGACGGGUAGCCGGCCUGAGAGGGUGACCGGCGAAAUUGGGACUGAGAUACGGCCCAGACUGCUACGGGAGGCAGCAGUGGGGAAUAUUGCACAAUGGGCGGAAGCCUGAUGCAGCAACGCCGCGUGCGGGAUGACGGCCUUCGGGUUGUAAACCGCUUUCGACUGUGACGAAGAGUGAGUGACGGUAAUGGGUAAAGAAGCACCGGCUAACUACGUG